UACAGAGGUGGCAAGCGUUGUUCGGAAUUACUGGGCGUAAAGGGCGAGUAGGCGGCCUUCUAAGUCAGACGUGAAAUCCCCCGGCUUAACCUGGGAACUGCGUCUGAUACUGGGAGGCUAGAGUAUGGGAGAGGAAUGUGGAAUUCCAGGUGUAGCGGUGAAAUGCGUAGAUAUCUGGAGGAACACCGGUGGCGAAGGCGGCAUUCUGGACCAUAACUGACGCUGAUCCGCGAAAGCGUGGGUAGCAAACAGG
rnacentral:rRNA from 1 species